rnacentral:rRNA from 1 species
GACGAACGCUGGCGGCGUGCUUAACACAUGCAAGUCGUACGGUAAGGCCCUUUCGGGGGUACACGAGUGGCGAACGGGUGAGUAACACGUGCGUAACCUGCCCACAACUUUGGGAUAACGCUAGGAAACUGGUGCUGAUACUGGAUAUGUGCUCCUGCUUCAUGGUGGGGGUUGGAAAGCUCCGGCGGGUGGGGAUGGAUUCGCGGCCUAUCAGCUUGUUGGUUGGGUAGUUGGCUACCAACGCGGGGACGGGUAGCCGGCCGGGGGGGGUGGCCGGCCACAUUGGGGCUGGGAAACGGCCCAGGCGCCCACGGGGGGGAGGAGUGGGGAAAAUUGCACAAUGGGCGCAAGGCUGGUGCAGGCACGCCGCGGGCGGGAUUACGGCCUUCGGGUUGGAAACCGCUUUCAGCAGGGACGAAGCUUUUUGUGACGGUACCUGCAGAAGAAGCACCGGCUAACUACGUG